rnacentral:lncRNA from 1 species
UGGCAUACUGGCAUCGCGCCGCGAGAGAGACCUCUCUCAGCGGACACGGGCAUCGCGCCGUGAGGAAGGCCCUCCUCAGCGGACACGGCAUCGUACUGUUGAGAGAGGCCUCCCCCAACAGACGCAAGCAUCAAAUAUAAGCAUAAACUUAUCAGCGUAAAGCAUUCAAGCGUAAAUAAGCGUAAUCAAGCGUAAAUCAUUUAGC